rnacentral:rRNA from 1 species
CCUUCGAAGUCAACUGACGUCACGCUUCCAAGAAAAGCUUCUAGGGUUAAUUUAAUAAGUGCCCGUACCGAUAACCGACACAGGUAGGCGAGGAGAGAAUCCUAAGAUGAGCGAGAGAACUCUUGUUAAGGAACUCGGCAAAAUGACCCCGUAACUUCGGGAGAAGGGGUGCUUGUGAAAGCAAGCCGCAGUGAAUAGGCCCAGGCGACUGUUUAUCAAAAACACAGGUCUCUGCUAAACCGCAAGGUGAUGUAUAGGGGCUGACGCCUGCCCGGUCUGGAAGGUUAAGAGGAGAGGUUAGCGCAAGCGAAGCUUUGAAUUGAAGCCCCAGUAAACGGCGGCCGUAACAAUAACGGUCCUAAGGUAGCGAAAUUCCUUGUCGGGUAAGUUCCGACCCGCACGAAAGGCGUAACGAUCUGGGCACUGUCUCAACAAGAGACUCGGUGAAAUCAUAGUACCUGUGAAGAUGCAGGUUACCCGCGACAGGACGGAAAGACCCCGUGGAGCUUUACUGUAGCUUGAUAUUGAGCACUGGUGGCACAUGUACAGGAUAGGUAGGAGACGAAGAAACCAGGACGCCAGUCUUGGUGGAGUCGCUGUUGGGAUACUACCCUUGUGUCCCUGGGGUUCUAACCCGUGGCCCUUAUCGGGUCAGGGAACAGUGUCAGGUGGGCAGUUUGACUGGGGCGGUCGCCUCCCAAAGAGUAACGGAGGCGCCCAAAGGUUCCCUCAGAAUGGUUGGAAAUCAUUCGAAGAGUGUAAAGGCAGAAGGGAGCUUGACUGCGAGACCUACAAGUCGAGCAGGGACGAAAGUCGGGCUUAGUGAUCCGGCGGUACCGAAUGGAAGGGCCGUCGCUCAACGGAUAAAAGCUACCCCGGGGAUAACAGGCUGAUCUCCCCCAAGAGUUCACAUCGACGGGGAGGUUUGGCACCUCGAUGUCGGCUCAUCGCAUCCUGGGGCUGUAGUCGGUCCCAAGGGUUGGGCUGUUCGCCCAUUAAAGCGGUACGCGAGCUGGGUUCAGAACGUCGUGAGACAGUUCGGUCCCUAUCCGUCGUGGGCGUAGGAAAUUUGAGAGGAGCUGUCCUUAGUACGAGAGGACCGGGAUGGACACACCGCUGGUGUACCAGUUGUUCUGCCAGGAGCAUAGCUGGGUAGCUACGUGUGGACGGGAUAAACGCUGAAAGCAUCUAAGCGUGAAGCCCCCCUCAAGAUGAGAUUUCCCAUUCGAAAGAAGUAAGAUCCCUUGAAGACGACGAGGUUGAUAGGUCAGGAGUGGAAGUGUGGUGACACAUGGAGCGGACAGAUACUAAUCGAUCGAGGACUUAACCAA